AAAACCUUCAGGGUGGAGACUCCAUCACCAUCUCUGGGCUCCUGUUCCUGUGCUGAGCUGUCCUCUUGGAGCAGCAACUCUUCUUUGUAUCUAGUCACAGUUCUGAUUGUUGCAGCUUGUGGCUUGCCUCUUGCCGUGUCACUGUGCCAUUUGGAGAAGAAUCUGACUCCACCUUGCCUAUAAAAUCAGCAGUUCGUGCAGUCUGACUGUCCUAA